rnacentral:rRNA from 1 species
GACGAACGCUGGCGGCGUGCCUAAUACAUGCGAGUUGAGCGCUGAAGGUUGGUACUUGUACCAACUGGAUGAGCAGCGAACGGGUGAGUACCGCGUGGGGAAUCUGCCUUUGAGCGGGGGACAACAUUUGGAAACGAAUGCUAAUACCGCAUAAAAACUUUAAACACAAGUUUUAAGUUUGAAAGAUGCAAUUGCAUCACUCAAAGAUGAUCCCGCGUUGUAUUAGCUAGUUGGUGAGGUAAAGGCUCACCAAGGCGAUGAUACAUAGCCGACCUGAGAGGGUGAUCGGCCACAUUGGGACUGAGACACGGCCCAAACUCCUACGGGAGGCAGCAGUAGGGAAUCUUCGGCAAUGGACGAAAGUCUGACCGAGCAACGCCGCGUGAGUGAAGAAGGUUUUCGGAUCGUAAAACUCUGUUGGUAGAGAAGAACGUUGGUGAGAGUGGAAAGCUCAUCAAGUGACGGUAACUACCCAGAAAGGGACGGCUAACUACGUG